CUGGAGGUAUCAGAAGUGCGAAUGCUGACAUAAGUAACGAUAAAGCGGGUGAAAAGCCCGCUCGCCGGAAGACCAAGGGUUCCUGUCCAACGUUAAUCGGGGCAGGGUGAGUCGACCCCUAAGGCGAGGCCGAAAGGCGUAGUCGAUGGGAAACGGGUUAAUAUUCCCGUACUUGGUGUUACUGCGAAGGGGGGACGGAGAAGGCUAUGUUGGCCGGGCGACGGUUGUCCCGGUUUAAGCGUGUAGGUGUGUGUUCCAGGUAAAUCCGGUUCACUUUAACACUGAGGCGUGAUGACGAGGCACUACGGUGCUGAAGCAACAAAUGCCCUGCUUCCAGGAAAAGCCUCUAAG
rnacentral:rRNA from 1 species